rnacentral:rRNA from 1 species
AUUGAACGCUGGCGGCAUGCCUAACACAUGCAAGUCGAGCGGAGCUGCGGACGGGUGAGUAAUGCCUGCGAAUCUGCCUGGUCGUGGGGGCUAACGUCCGGAAACGGGCGCUAAUACCGCAUACUACUUGAUGAGCCUAGGUCGGAUUGGCUAGUUGGUGGGGUAAAGGCCUACCUAGGCGACGAUCCGUAACUGAUCUGAGAGGAUGAUCAGUCACACUGGAACUGAGACACGGUCCAGACUCCUACGGGAGGCAGCAGUGGGGAAUAUUGGACAAUGGGCGAAAGCCUGAUCCAGCAAUGCCGCGUGUGUGAAGAAGGUCUUCGGAUUGUAAAGCACUUUAAGUUGGGAAGCGUUACCAAAACAAAAAGCACCGGCUAACUUCGUGCCAGCAGCCGCGGUAAUUC